AAUUAAAGCGGUACGAGAGCUGGGUUCAGAACGUCGUGAGACAGUUUGGUCCCUAUCUGUUGUGGGCGAAGGAGAUUUGAGAGGAUCUGUCCCUAGUACGAGAGGACCGGGAUGGACGAACCUCUAGUGUGCCAGUUGUCCCGCCAGGGGCAUCGCUGGGUAGCUAUGUUCGGUCGGGAUAACCGCUGAAAGCAUCUAAGCGGGAAACCCACCUCAAGACUAGAUCUCCCUCCCGAGUAAUCGGGACUAAAGACCCCCGGUAGACCACCGGGUUGAUAGGCUGGACGUGUAAGGGUGGUAACAUCCUGAGCUAACCAGUACUAAUAGGUCGUGAGGCUUAACCAC
rfam:Nitrospirae bacterium GWC2_57_13 gwc2_scaffold_10776, whole genome shotgun sequence.